AUUGAACGCUGGCGGCAUGCUUUACACAUGCAAGUCGAACGGCAGCACAAACUUCGGUUUGGUGGCGAGUGGCGAACGGGUGAGUAAUGCAUCGGAACGUGUCCUGAAGUGGGGGAUAACGCAUCGAAAGAUGCGCUAAUACCGCAUAAUCUCUGAGGAGAAAAGUGGGGGAUCGAAAGACCUCAUGCUUUUGGAGCGGCCGAUGUCUGAUUAGCUAGUUGGUAGGGUAACGGCCUACCAAGGCGACGAUCAGUAGUUGGUCUGAGAGGAUGGCCAGCCACACUGGGACUGAGACACGGCCCAGACUCCUACGGGAGGCAGCAGUGGGGAAUUUUGGACAAUGGGCGAAAGCCUGAUCCAGCAAUGCCGCGUGUGUGAAGAAGGCCUCGGUUGUAAG
rnacentral:rRNA from 1 species